rnacentral:rRNA from 1 species
AUUGAACGCUGGCGGCAGGCCUAACACAUGCAAGUCGAGCGGAUGAAGGGAGCUUGCUCCUGGAUUCAGCGGCGGACGGGUGAGUAAUGCCUAGGAAUCUGCCUGGCAGUGGGGGAUAACGUCCGGAAACGGGCGCUAAUACCGCAUACGUCCUGAGGGAGAAAGUGGGGGAUCUUCGGACCUCACGCUAUCAGAUGAGCCUAGGUCGGAUUAGCUAGUUGGUGGGGUAAAGGCCUACCAAGGCGACGAUCCGUAACUGGUCUGAGAGGAUGAUCAGUCACACUGGAACUGAGACACGGUCCAGAGUCCUACGGGAGGCAGCAGUGGGGAAUAUUGGGCAAUGGGCGAAAGCCUGAUGCAGCCAUGCCGCGUGUGUGAAGAAGGUCUUCGGAUUGUAAAGCACUUUUAGUUGGGAGGAAGGGCUGUAAGUUUAUACCUUGCUGUUUUGACGUUACCAACUGAAUAAGCACCGGCUAACUACGUG